rnacentral:rRNA from 1 species
AGAGUUUGAUCAUGGCUCAGAUUGAACGCUGGCGGCAUGCCUUACACAUGCAAGUCGAACGCGAAAGGGGGGCAACUCCCGAGUAGAGUGGCGAACGGGUGAGUAAUACAUCGGAACGUGUCCAGUAGCGGGGGAUAACCUCUCGAAAGAGAGGCUAAUACCGCAUACGACCUACGGGUGAAAGAGGGGGAUCGCAAGACCUCUCACUAUUGGAGCGGCCGAUGUCGGAUUAGCUAGUUGGUGGGGUAAUGGCCUACCAAGGCGACGAUCCGUAGCUGGUCUGAGAGGACGACCAGCCACACUGGAACUGAGACACGGUCCAGACUCCUACGGGAGGCAGCAGUGGGGAAUUUUGGACAAUGGGCGAAAGCCUGAUCCAGCCAUGCCGCGUGAGUGAAGAAGGCCUUCGGGUUGUAAAGCUCUUUCGGCGGGGACGAUGAUGACGGUACCCGCAGAAUAAGCCCCAGCUAACUUCGUGCCAGCCGCCGCGGUAAUAC